GCACAAGCGGUGGAGCAUGUGGUUUAAUUCGACGCAACGCGCAGAACCUUACCAGGGUUUGACAUCCUGCGACCGCUCCCUAAUAGGAGUUUUCCCGCAAGGGACGCAGAGACAGGUGCUGCAUGGCUGUCGUCAGCUCGUGUCGUGAGAUGUUGGGUUAAGUCCCGCAACGAGCGCAACCCUCGUCCUGUAUUGCCAGCAGCGGUUUCGGCCGGCUGGGGACUUGCGGGAGACUGCCGGGGUCAACUCGGAGGAAGGUGGGGACGACGUCAAAUCAUCAUGCCCCUUAUGUCCUGGGCUGCACGCAUGCUACAAUGGCCGGUACAGAGGGCUGCGAUACCGUGAGGUGGAGCGAAUCCCUUAAAGCCGGUCUCAGUUCGGAUCGGGGUCUGCAACUCGACCCCGUGAAGUCGGAGUCGCUAGUAAUCGCAGAUCAGCAACGCUGCGGUGAAUACGUUCCCGGGC
rnacentral:rRNA from 1 species